rnacentral:rRNA from 1 species
UACGUAGGCAGCAAGCGUUGUUCGGAGUUACUGGGCGUAAAGAGUGCGUAGGCGGUCCUAUAAGUUCCGUGUGAAAUCUCCCGGCUCAACUGGGAGGGUGCGCGGAAGACUGUAGGGCUUGAGUGUGGGAGAGGUAAGCGGGAUUCCUGGUGUAGCGGUGAAAUGCGUAGAUAUCAGGAGGAACACCUGUGGUGUAGACAGCUUACUGGACCAUAACUGACGCUGAGGCACGAAAGCGUGGGUAGCAAACAGG